AGAAUGAACGCUGGCGGCGUGCUUUACACAUGCAAGUUGAGCGAGGCCACCCGCAAGGGUGAGUCGAGCGGCGAACGGGUGAGUAACGCGUGGAUAACCUGCCCUGAGGUGGGGAAUAACCCGGGGGAAACUCGGGCUAAUACCGCAUGAUACCAAGCGGUCAAAGAGGGCUCGCAAGGGCUCUUGCCACAGGAGGGGUCCGCGUUCGAUUAGCUAGUUGGUAGGGUAAUGGCCUACCAAGGCGACGAUCGAUAGCCGGCCUGAGAGGGUGAUCGGCCACACUGGAACUGAGACACGGUCCAGACUCCUACGGGAGGCAGCAGUGGGGAAUUUGCGCAAUGGGCUAACGGCCUGACGCAGCAACGCCGCGUGGAGGAUGAAGGUCUUUGGAUUGUAAACUCCUGUCAGCAGGAAAAGGAGGGACCUAAUACGUUCCUGACAUGAUUGACCUGCAGAGGAAGCCCGGCUAACUCUAGUGACCAGCCAGGCCCGAC
rnacentral:rRNA from 1 species